UGAUCCUGGCUCAGGACAAAACGCUGGCGGAAUGUAUUAGGCAUGCAAGUCGCACGAACCUUCGGGUUAGUGGCGGACGGGUGAGUAACACGUGGGUAACCUGCCUCGUAGUGGGGAAUAACUCGCCGAAAAGGCGAGCUAAUACCGCAUAUAACUCCUGGUGAGAAUCCGGGAAGUAAAAAGCUCCGGCGCUACGAGAGGGGCCCGCGGCCGAUUAGCUUGUUGGUGGGGUAAUGGCCUACCAAGGCGACGAUCGGUAGCUGGUCUGAGAGGAUGGUCAGCCACACGGGGACUGAGAUACGGCCCCGACUCCUACGGAGGCAGCAGCUAAGAAUCUUGCGCAAUGGGCGAAAGCCUGACGCAGCAAUUCCGCGUGGAGGACGAAGGCCCUCGGGUCGUAAACUCCUUUUGUCGAGGGAAGAAA
rnacentral:rRNA from 1 species